GGGUCGAUGGCAGAGCUGGUGAUGCACCGGAUUCUUAAUCCGACCGACGCAGGUUCGAGUCCUGUUCGACCCA
rnacentral:tRNA from 2 species